rnacentral:rRNA from 1 species
CAGAAGAAGCGACGGCUAAAUACGUGCCAGCAGCCGCGGUAAUACGUAUGUCGCAAGCGUUAUCCGGAUUUAUUGGGCGUAAAGCGCGUCUAGGCGGUUUGGUAAGUCUGAUGUGAAAAUGCGGGGCUCAACUCCGUAUUGCGUUGGAAACUGCCAAACUAGAGUACUGGAGAGGUAGGCGGAACUACAAGUGUAGAGGUGAAAUUCGUAGAUAUUUGUAGGAAUGCCGAUGGGGAAGCCAGCCUACUGGACAGAUAC